AUUGAACGCUGGCGGCGUGGCUAAAGCAUGCAAGUCGAACGGGUCCGCAAGGACCAGUGGCGGAAGGGUCAGUAAUACGAUCGAACGUGCCCCGAGGUGGGGGAUAGCGGCGGGAAACUGCCGGUAAUACCCCAUGAUCUCUCCGGAGCAAAGGUUUACCGCCUUGGGAUCGGCGAUCGUCCUAUCAGCUAGUUGGCGGGGUAACGGCCCACCAAGGCGAUGACGGGUAGCAGGUGUGAGAGCACGACCUGCGACAUCGGGACUGAGACACUGCCCGGACUCCUACGGGAGGCUGCAGCGACGAAUCUUCCGCAAUGGGGGCAACCCCGACGGAGCGACGCCGCGUGCGGGAUGAAGCGCCUUCGGCGUGUAAACCGCUGUCAGGGGACAGAACCAAUGAUCGUCCCCAGAGGAAGAGACGGCUAACCCUGUGCCAGCAGCCGCGGUAAGACAGGGGUCUCGAGCGUUAAUCGGAAUCACUGGGCUUAAAGGGUGCGUAGGCGGACCGACACGCG
rnacentral:rRNA from 1 species